AUGGUUCUCUGGGUUUUAUAGAGAAUCUGACCUGCCCAGUGAAGUAUUUAACGGCUGCAGUAUUUUGACUGUACAAAGGUAGCAUAAUCAUUAGCUUCUUAAUUAGGGGCUGGUAUGAAAGGUUAGACGGAGAUUAACUGUCUCUAUUGUAAUAGAUGAAUUUUAUGUUUUUGUAAAAAAUCAAAAAUUUAAUAAAGGGACGAGAAGACCCUGUUAAACUUUAGUUGAGUUUUAUUUAUAACUUAAAUAUUAUUAUUGAGUAGAUGAGAUUAACUUUUAUUGGGGCGAUUUAUGUUAAAACAAUAUAAAUUUUUAAAAUAUUGAUAAAAAGAGUAAGAACCUAUUAGUUUGAUAAUAGAAAAAGUUACUUAAGGGAUAACAGCGUAAUAAUUUUUAAUAGUUCUUAUUGACAAAAUUGUUUGCGA
rnacentral:rRNA from 1 species